UUGAUCUUUUUAAAAUUUGCCUCAGAAUUUACAUAAAUCAAAGAGUUUAAAAAACCUUCGGCAGAUGGCCGGCUUUCGCCAGGCUUGAAACCCCGCCCUGGGGUCAUCUGCCGAAGCAACAUGCCAUGAAUUCACAUAGGGUUAAGAGUAAAAAGUAACUCUGUAAUGAUCCCUCCGCUGGUUCACCAACGGAGA
rnacentral:misc_RNA from 1 species